UCUUAGUGUUGGGGGCGGGUGUGUGUGCGUGUGCCGUGUGGUAGCAGGGUGGGGGUGGUCUCCCUGGUUGCUAAGGGCAACAGGGUGAGAUAGAUGGAGCCGCAGCUGCGCGUCUGUUAAUACCAGCGUUCGACCCUCAGCGUCUCCGCGCGCGAAAUUCUCUCUACACACACACACAAUCUCUCUCCCUCACACAUACUGAUCUCACUUCAGUCAAGGCAUGAGGAUGCGAGCGGGGAUUUAGUUUGUGUCUUUUCCAGUCUACAGCAGAUUAUUACCUUUCCUCCAGCACACGGGACGGAUUGACACACGAGGAACAAGCUUUGAGGUCCAUCUACUCCAUACGGAAUAUGAUGCAGAAUUGCCCAUUUCUUAUGGAAAUAAGUUGGAUAGGAACACUCACAGAGCUGCCGGCUGAUCAUCAAUGAACUCAGUUCCAUAAAGAACUCAAGGAAAUAAGUAUUUUUCAGCUAGGAAGACCUGAUAGUUGGAGUUUUUAUUUUCGAUAUGGCGGCAACUGAGGCUAAUGCAGAGCCUGUCCAAGCAGACAUUGUCGAGAACAAGGCCGAGGUAGAAACCACAAAUCCAGCCCCAGCUUCAACAGAGGAAGCCCCAGCUUCAACAGAGGAAACACAGCCUACUACUGAGGCGCCACAAAGCACAGAGCAACCAGCUGAUAGCAAAUCUAAGCCAGCCUCUGAGAAAAUAUGGGACUCUUUUUUAAAUAAAAGUGGGCUUGGAAAAGUAAUGGGAGGGAAGAAAAAGAAGGAGCAGCAAACAGGAGCUGAGGAUACUACUGGCGAGGAGCAAGAUAAGGUCUCCAGCCAGAACGAUCAAGGGGAUACUGCAGGCCCUAAAGACCAGGAAUCUAGUCAGCCAGCAGAAGCUGGCGAGGCUGCAGCCGAUGGGCAGACUAUUGAAAAGGCACCAGAAAAUGAGGAGGUUUCCCAAGAGCAAAAGGCAUCUGGUGCCAAGCCAAAGCAAGGAGAGAAGUCUAGUGUUAGGGACUUCAUUCGCAAGCCUGUUGCUAAAAUUUUCUCACACAAAAGCACAGACAAAAAGGAUAGUACAGGGGCACUUCAAAAACAUGGCAAGGUUCGUUCAAAAUCACUAGACAGGCUGGAGGAUGCUGAUGCCAGCACAAAUGUGGCAGACCAAGCAGAGGAGCCUCCGACUGCAGAUGAGCCAGACAAAUCUAACCCCCAAACAACAAAAAACAUGAAACGCUGGCACUCUUUUAAGAAACUCAUGGCUCAGAAAAGUCACAAGAAAAGCACAGAUGAGUCCAAGGAUGCUGAGGGUGCAGAAGGAACCAGUGCAGAUGGAGCAGGAGACAGUGGGACACUGGAUUCCACUACAAAGUCAGAGCACUCUGGGCAAAAAAGGUGGAAACUAAAGAGAUCUUGGACAUUCCAAGGACUGAAGAGAGAUUCAUCAGUUGUUGGAAUCCACAAACCAAAGGACAAAGACUCUUCAGAUGUAAACGAUGAAAACGCCCCAGAGGCUGAACAGGGGACAGAAGAUGUAAAGGUAGCCAGCGACACAGAAGCACAGGAGAAGAUUAAUGCUGAGGGUGAGGAGGAGAAAGGAGCAACUGCUACUACACAGCAUGCAAAAUCUGUGGACCAGCAUGCAAAUGAGAUCUGGACCUCUUUCAAAAAACGAGUUAUUCCCAAAUCAAAGAGGGCAGCUGACACUGGUGGAGUAGAGGAAGAAGCAGCGGGUGAGCAAGAGCAGACUGAUGAACCACAGGCUGGUAAAGACUCAGGCAAGACAGCCAAGGCAAAAAGGACACACUUCAACCGUGCUGUGUCACUAAAGAACUUCAUACUGCGAAAGGGGAAAAGUACCAGUGUGGACAUGGGGGAGGGUACAGCAGCCCAGAAAGAUGGAGAUGGUACUUGUGAGAGUGAGGCUAAAGACCUGGAUGGCCUUGAUGAUGCAGCUGGGGCAACUGAUGUCCCACAGACUGUAUCAGAGGAGCAAACUGUGGCUCAGAAUGAGAGCAGUAAUGAAGCUCAGGUGGCAGGCGAAUACAAGAGUUCUGAUGGAGAGGAGAGGUCCCACACUAGUGCACCAUCUGGUCAGCCAUCAGACAAGUCUCACGUAGCAGAUCCAGCACCAGAGGGUGGAGCCCAGACAGAGCCAAAAGCCAAUGGUGAGAAUGGAUGCUUGGAUGCUACAUCAGAGUACACCGCAGCACACAAUCAUGAAGCAACAACCCAGAAUGAUGUGAAGGGUGAGGAGACCAACCAGGAGACCAUAGACUCUAGUGGCAAAACUUGUCCGAAGGAUGGGAAGAUCCUCAAUCAAGACGGGAACUGUGAUACUGUCAAUGCAGUUGCCCAAAGCGGUGAGUGUGAAGCUCCAAUUGACUCAAGAGAUCUACUGCAAAAUGGAAAUGGCAAAGCAGAGUCUAAAUUAGGAGUAGGUACUAGUGUUGAGGUAGAGACUGGGGGGGAUGGGGCCCCUCAAUGUGGAGGGUCCCUUUCUGGGUCAGCAAAGACCAAUACAGAUGAACAAGAGGAAGCCUUGAAGAGGAUGUUCUAUGAGGUUGCAGCUUCCAUCGUUCGUGCAGUUGUAUCCUCAGCCACUGAACAGUUAGCCAAGGAGAAGGACUUUCUGGACAGUAGUUUAAAGUGUUUCCAGCCUGAAAACAAUAGCAGUUACACAGAUAUUGAUGUCAGUUACUGUCACAGAGAAGUUACUUUAAAUCAAGGAUCUCUGUAUUGAUCCUUGAUGAUCCUGAGCACCUUCAUCUCUGUUUAAAAAAAGGCGGGAAACGUGUGACGCCACACAAAGAGGAUUAGAUCUGCAUGGGAUUCGUUCAGCGAGGAGCUUUCCCCCCCUCCCCCAAAAUAUGGAGUAAUCACAUGUUUACGCCACGAUUCACCAUGAUAUGUGAUACAGAUACAUUUGAAAUAACAGCCCACCAGACUGCCCCCCGAAUUGUGAAUUCAAUGCGGAAUGUGCUCUAAUUUCUGUGUUUUUGUUUUUAGACUUAUCUUGUGUACAUGAAUA